GUCUGGCUAGCUCAAUUGGCUAGAGCGUGUGACUGUAAGAAACCCACCUUUCAACUGAUCGCCAUUCGUCCGAUCUUCCGGAAACACAACUAACAAUCCCAAAGUUUACUACGAAAGUAUUGAAAUCCCAAGGUUGCGGGUUCGAGUCCCGCGUCAGACG
rnacentral:tRNA from 1 species